rnacentral:rRNA from 1 species
GAUGAACGCUGGCGGCGUGCCUAAUACAUGCAAGUCGAGCGAACAGACGAGGAGCUUGCUCCUUUGACGUUAGCGGCGGACGGGUGAGUAACACGUGGAUAACCUACCUAUAAGACUGGGAUAACUUCGGGAAACCGGAGCUAAUACCGGAUAACAUGUUGAACCGCAUGGUUCAACAGUGAAAGACGGUCUUGCUGUCACUUAUAGAUGGAUCCGCGCCGCAUUGGCUAGUUGGUAAGGUAACGGCUUACCAAGGCAACGAUGCGUAGCCGACCUGAGGGGGUGAUCGGCCACACUGGAACUGAGACACGGUCCAGACUCCUACGGGAGGCAGCAGUAGGGAAUCUUCCGCAAUGGGCGAAAGCCUGACGGAGCAACGCCGCGUGAGUGAAGAAGGUCUUCGGAUCGUAAAACUCUGUUAUUAGGGAAGAACAAAUGUGUAAGUAACUAUGCACGUCUUGACGGUACCUAAUCAGAAAGCCACGGCUAACUACGUG